rnacentral:rRNA from 1 species
ACGGGGUGCAGCAGGCGCGAAAACUCCGCAAUACACGAAAGUGUGACGGGGGAACCCCAAGUGCACUCACGCAAGUGAGUGCUUUUGUGAAGUGUAAAUAGCUUUAUGAAUAAGAGCUGGGUAAGACCGGUGCCAGCCGCCGCGGUAACACCGGCAGCUCGAGUGGUGAUCACUAUUAUUGGGCCUAAAGCGUCCGUAGCCGGUUUGAUAAGUCCUUGGGCAAAUCCUGCCGCUUAACGGUAGGAAUUCUGAGGAUACUGUCAGACUUGAGGCCGAGAGAGGUCGGAGGUACUUCUGGGGUAGCGGUGAAAUGCUAUAAUCCUAGGGGGACCACCAGUGGCGAAAGCGUCCGACCAGAGCGGGCCUGACGGUAAGGGACGAAAGCCAGGGGCGCGAACGGGAUUAGAUACCCCGGUAGUCCUGGCCGUAAACGCUGUGGGCUAGGUGUUGCAUGCUCUACGAGGGCGUGCAGUGCCGAAGAGAAGUUGAUAAGCCUACCGCCUGGGAAGUACUAUCGCAAGAUAGAAACUUAAAGGAAUUGGCGGGGGAGCAC